CCUAUGACACACCAGGAUGCAACAGAGGCAGGAGGCAGUCACAGAGCUCAGAGGGUCCAGGACCCGUGGGUGCUCUCCACGUUUGGGGAGCAGUUGAUGUGGGAGAGGAGAGUACAGAGGCUUUCAGAAAAGAAAGGAGGGGUUUGGGAAGAAAGUGAGAUACCCCACCUGUAAUCUGGGCAGAGAGCUCAGCCACGUGUCCUUGAGACCAAAGCCGGAAUUAAAUCCUGCCCAGGAAGAGCAGAGAGAUGCUGGCUUCUGUGGUCUCCUUCUCUCUUCCCUUCCCCUUACUUCUCUCCCUUAGUCCCAGGAUCUUACCAAUAACAAGUCCCAGAGUUGAGCCGUGCUGAUACUCCAGAAUUAGGACGGACAGACACCUCAGGGCCAUCCUGUGGAGCCAAGGAUUGGGGGAAAAGCCACCAGAAUUCAGGUGGAUGCACCAGUUAAGACAGAAGAAUGGGGAGAGGAAGACAAACAUCAAGAGGCCAAUAGAAGGAUCAGGGCCUCCUUCAAGCCCUCACCCUUUGCAGGGCUGAGGACAGUCCCCACACACCACUGAGAAGAAGGCCAAGGGAUGGUGUGCUGCCCCGGGGGUGCCUGGGGGUGCCAGGUCCUGGAAUCAGCAUGCUGAG